rnacentral:rRNA from 1 species
CCCUUAGAUGUCCGGGGCCGCACGCGCGCUACACUGAAGGAAUCAGCGUGGCUUUCUCCCUGGUCCGAAGGGACCGGGAAACCCGUUGAAUCUCCUUCGUGAUAGGGAUUGGGGCUUGAAAUUGUUCCCCAUGAACGAGGAAUUCCCAGUAAGCGCGAGUCAUAAGCUCGCGUUGAUUACGUCCCUGCCCUUUGUACACACCGCCCGUCGCUACUACCGAUUGAACGGUUUAGUGAGGGCCUCGGAUUGGUCUCGGCCCGCUCUUCACCGGGCGGCGCCGUUGGUCGAGAAGACGCUCGAACUUGAUCGUUUAGAGGAAGUAAAAGUCGUAACA